AUUUUGAUGUACAUAUAGCACCCGUCUAAGCUGACAUAUCUUGUUCAAGUUUCACUUAAAAUCCAUCUGCAAUAUGUCCUCUUCACAAAAAGGGAAACAAAUUAGUGUUAACUUUAACCUAAAUUAUCAGAUAAAGCUCAUAUCUAUAAAGACAAGACCGCUACAAUUGACGCGUUGGAAAACAAUAUUGAAGCAUUUAUUCGUUAGAUACCGGUCGAGAUGUUGAGAAGAGUAUGCCAAAAUUGGACUAAGCCAAUGGAUCAUACGAAGAGUUCAGUUCUUGAAAUACUCUAUGGUUGUUAGUGCAUCUUGAAAUCAGAAGUAGAUGGAUGGUCUUGUGGAGGCCUCUGACACGAAUCUCAAAAAUCGAUUUAAUCAGGUUAUGCGCAAUGGGGGUUGCCAUUUAACCGAUGACAUUUUUAAGAUUGCAUGA